GUGGUAGCUCAGUCGGUAAAGCAUGAGACUCUUAAUCUCAGGGUUGAGGGUUCAAUUCCCAUGUUGGGCA
rnacentral:tRNA from 1 species